rnacentral:rRNA from 1 species
AUGCAUAGCCUGUUUGAAUCUUAUAUGCCGAGGGGCGUGCUGCUGGCUCAUCCACCAAUAAGCUCGUCUGGUCCCCUGUUCUGGAGGCCCUCCGCUACUUCUCUAGCUCGUGGUGUCGCCGUGGUGGUGAAGACGAAGAGGAGAAGAGAUGGAGAACCAGAUCGGGUCAGUGCUCUUAUCCGGUGGCUGUUUGGGAGUGGCCUUGGCGCCAGCUACGGCGUUCGGCGGCCGGCCGGCUCCAUCACGCCAUCGUACAUGCUGGCCGAAGGGCGGCCUUUCUACUUCUUCCUCCCGGCCAAGAUGCCUAAAGGGAGGCAGCUCAUCUUCUUCACGGAGUCUAUGGCGUGGUGCCAUGGAAGCUUAGUUGUCCCAAGUGGCAAUGUCCCCGGCGACGGCGAGGUUACGGCCGUGCAGAAGAUGUCAAGGACCCGAUUGCUUUUCUUAUCUGGUUGUUGGGGUCCUCUUUGUAUAAGACAGGGACCAGUGUGUUAUUUGCAGUUAGUUCUGGGUCCGUCUGUAAAAUGCUGUGUACUUCAUGUUUUUCACUGUUAA